CCUGAACUCGAAUUGCCUCAGUAGUAAUAAAACGACUCCAGACGAGAUAAUAAUGACAACUUCACUGAUUUUCGCGCUGCUGUUUGUCACGGUGUCGUGUCUACCUGUCCCAGUCUUGCCGGUGAGUCUUUCACUGGUAUUUUCAGUAUGCCAUUGGUUACGCAGUACCGUGGGAAACGGGGAUCAACCCUGUUUGCAGCGGUGAGACCUGAUACUUAGAAAGAACUAUACGGCGUUGAGAUGCUUUGUCAGCACCUGCCGUGUGUUGACCGUAUCACGGCAAGUGCGCACUAACGACGGCUUCAAGGUAUAGAGGACAAGUUGAGUACUUUACUAAUAGUUUCCGUAAGGGGUGUUGAUACGUUAAAGGUGCUAAACUGUCAUGUUCAAGUCCCACACGGUUCAGAUUAGUGACUCGGAAGUUGUCUACUGACACCGAUAGCUGAGACAAUGUUCAUGGACGCACGUACCUCAUCUUGUCGUUGGUGUGCACGUGUGGUUGUGAGAGAAUAAUUCAUAUCAGGGAACAUACUUACCAGAUAUAGAAUCUAGAAUGUGUUAAUUCAGUUAAUUUGAAUAAGACUAUGAUAGAGGCAAUGUGUGGGAAAUCUAUAUCUGGACAUGUAAUGAGACGAGCGAUUAAGAUAUUCAUUUCACAGAUCCAUAUCAACAGUGACGGAACUGCAUGCCACAAUUAUCUAUCUCUGAAUUUGUGGAAGAGUGAAAAAAAUAAAAGAACACAAAAAUUGCAGCGACUGUAGGUUAGUCACUCGGCAACUUUCUCAACAUUUCUGUUGUGAAUCACGCUGCUACCAAGUUACUAUGGAAGACAAUAGAUCCAGUGUUUCAAGGGGGUUUCUCACUGUAAUUGUAGGAUAGGAUAAACUAAUUGUAUUGACACUGACAUUGCUGAAUCCAGCCAUCAUCAGUUUAUGUAUUGUCCCCUCUGGGCGUUUUUAUUGGACAAUGACAGUUUGCCUUAUCCGGAGUUAUUAACGUCAGCCAUGUUGUUUUAUAAAGGGAAUGGCCUGUGUUGCAUUUUACAUGACCAACUGGACUUUGGACCUCGUGAUUCACUUGUUCCCACCCUGCUCAUUUUUAUUGAGAAAGCUGUCCUGGCCAUUUCUGCUGUAGUCCUUAAAGCUACUGUGGCAUGAAAUGGUUUCACACUGUGCGGUGUGAAAACGGACACUUCAGAAAAGCCCUGACAUAAAUGAAAUAUAUUAAACAUACAAUACAAUAAUAAUAUGUGAGACCAAAUGUUGUCUGUGUUCCCCUCAUGGUCCUCGUAGGAGUUGUUUUCUAUGUUGUUUUUGCCUUGGGUAAAAUGAGUGCCAGUUGUCAGGGAUGUUUAUUAUUGUGUGCCUCCCAGCCUCUGUUCUGGACUGUGAAGAGACCUCUGGUGGCCGGCCUUGAGUGAUUUUCAUGGGACUUAACCUUGGUUCAACUUCAGUCUCAGUGACACAUUUCCAUCCUGUAAUAUAUUCUGUCUAUAUUAUACAGAAAAUGUAUCAUGUUUCGUAAUUCUAAAUGUUUCACAGCAAAGUAAAAAACCAUAAAGCAAUAACUGUGUUGUACAAUGUGAGCAGAUACUCGGUUUCCCCUGUUUCUGUGGCAAGUUCAAGAGGACAAGAGGGAGUUAAUGUAUUCUAUACCUCCAGAAGACGUGGAUGGAUCAGGAAAUGAUCUAGAAAGUUCUUCUUCUGGAGAAUUGGGGGAAGGGUCCGAAGACGGACAAAGUUCCAAUUACUACGUCACAAUUUCAAAACCCCACGGCAUCGACAGAGAAGACAAAGGCUUCCCAAUCAUAACCCGAAAUGAAAUACCAGAUGACACACACCAGACCUCUAACUUUUGGCCAGAGCUGGGAGACUACCCUGAAUCCAUCACUGGCAAUGUGGCAAAUAGCAGGAGUUUUCUAGUGAACAAAGAAGCUCUUGCAGCUAUCAUUGCAGGUGGUGUGGUGGGACUAGCAUUGGCUGCUAGCUUGCUAACACUGCUCAUCUAUAGCAUGAAGAAGAAAGACUGGGGAGACACUUCAAAGGGAGGAUAUUUGAAAGGCAAUACCAAGGAGUUUAUGGUGUAACUUUCCUAUGAAUGAAUGAAUGACUGCAAAUCGCUUUGGAUAUAAGUGUUGGCCAGAUGGGACGUGCUGUUAGUUUAAAACCAGGCGGAUUGAACCCUGAAUGUUGAUUGCAAGCUGUUGUAUACAAGACUAUAUCACGGGUGAUAAUAAAACAUGUAUUUUUACUGUUCAAAUGGCAAUAUGUUGUUCCACACUUUCCUGUCAAAUAAAGCAUAAAAUUGCCUGAAAAAUAUGUAUUUAAAAAAUACAUAUAUACCGUCACACUUUAUUUGCAUAGUCACAAUUACAAUCUGUUGAUGCUCUAGAGAUAUUUAUACUAUCCACAACAUAUAUGAAAAACUAAAUAAAUGCUUGUUAGGCUAGGGUUAGAUCAAGAAAGAGAGUUAGGGAAAGAAUUAAGGUUAUUGUAAGAAGAUAGUUAAUUGAAAUGUUAUAGAUGAUGUAGGUCAGUGGUUCCCAACCAGGGGUACUAGGACCCCUGGGGGUACUUGGCCUUUCCACAGGGGGUACUUGAAAACACUCAAGUACCCCACUAGUGAAAUGAACAUGAGGGGGUACUUCAGGGGUACUCCAAGCAGUGCAAAUUAUUUUUGGGGGUACAGUAACUGAAAAAGGUUGGGAGCCACUGAUGUAGAUUGUCUGAAAAUCAUCUGUAGAUUGACUUUACAAAUAAACUGUUACCAUAUGUACUGUAUAUGUGAUUACAAGUUUUCUGAACUUUAUUAGUGUUUCAGCAGUUCACUGGUGAAAUACUAUUGUUUUUGUAACAGUUAAUUAUUAUUAUUUUAAAUUGGAUUUCUGCAUGAAUCUUCCACAUAUAUGUUAUAAUCUUUAAAAUGGGUGUACUUUAUCGACAUUUUAAGUAUUGAUGUUAUGAAUCAACUGUGUUGAAAGUAUCACACCUUGAGAAUAAAUUGUAUCUUG
ensembl:lncRNA